rnacentral:misc_RNA from 1 species
CGUGAUCCACCUGCGCGCACGCACAUCACCGCCACUCAUCCACCUCGUCGUGUAGUAUCCACACACCCAAACGCACGUAAAUCCGUAGCGGGAGAUACAGACAGCGUCGGCGCCUUCCCUCGCCUCCCCAACCCGACACUUACACGCAUUCACGAUGUCCGACUCUCAUCAGAUUUACGCGGUGGCCGGUCACGCACUUCCGCUGCCGCCCAAGCGCACACCGCCUCGCUACAGCACUAUCACCCGCUCUGAGGAGCAAGAGUGCCGCAUAAGUGUCCGUGCAAACUCUCCCGGUCGCGCCGAGACGCCGCGUGAUGGCGAGAUAAGUCCCGUCGCUGUAGCCCUGCAGCGCGAAUCACAACUCGGAUACCGCGGCGAGGCUGCUCAUCCUCCGCCAGAGGACUCGAAGCACCUGGCUCCACCCACCUUGCAGAAGUCCAAGGUGCCAUCGAGUCGGCUGGCCGGACCGUCAACGCCGCGGCAGCAGUCGCAGAAGUCGACGGAGCUGGAGCUCGACGACCUCAGCAGCUGCUUCUCGUCACACUGCAACAGCGCGCCAGAUACCAACGCGAAGAUGCACGCGGCAAGCGAGUUCUUGGCUCAGGGCGGCUACGCGACCCCUCCUCAUUUGAAUAUGACCGCCGUCGUACCAGAGGACGGUAGCUCCAUCGACAGCCGUCCGUCUCUGAACCGCACCAAAUUUGAGGCAGCAGUGGCGGCAGCAGAGGAUCAGGAUCGCAAUGUCGUUCCCGCGCGGCCCAUCGAGACGUCUAGGACUCGCCGCAGCCAGGCGCCUGCCAACCACCACAGCACCCCGGUCGCAGCGGCGCCGGCGAGCGGCACCCGCUCUACAGCAACACAGUCCACUUUGUCGCGCUACAACCAUUCCAAGGGAUGCGGGGCGUACAGCGGCGACCAGCGGCAGCAGGCUGAGAGCACAGACGGAGCUCCUCAGAAGCAUCAGCAACAGCAGCCAAGGCCACGAGGCGCACCUGCCACGGAAGCUGCGGCGCACCCAGCAGCCUCGGCGGCGAGCAGCGCGGGCAGCAGCAGGCGAAGAGGUGUGUCAUCGCAUGAGCGCUCACCAAGCGAGGCAAGCUCCUACCGUCGCGACAAGCAUAGCGCCCGCAGCGCACCCGUGUGUUAUGUCGAGCAGCACAGCCGCUCCCCGGUCAGAAAUAACAGAGCAGCCCUCUUGUCAUCCCCAGUGUCGGUCGAUCCUCAUCUCACCCACGAGUACUCUCAGCAGAAGAUGGAGGAGCGCCGAGCGUCGAAGUCGCGUGUGGUGCCCAGCAGUCAGUCAACGGCUGUGGUGGUGGUUUCAUCAAACGCGUGGAACAGUAUCCGCACUUCCCGCAACGGCGAAGACCCGCUGGAGAUGAGCGUCCCUAUCGCAGAGCGAGUGAACUUCAUGUCCACAUUGGCACGGCACCGCGACAGCUCGGCGUCCGUGCCUAUGGGGACGCUGGAGGGCACGGAGCUGCUGCCGGGGCUGCCCCAGCUGCAGGGGCACCGAAACGAUGACAAUGCCGAUCGCCCCUACCGCACCAUUAUCCGCUUCAUCGAAUAUCAGCCCAAGGGGGAGCGACCCGGAUUGGAAGAGAUACUGGCCAGCUACUCUGGUCGUGAGGACGCGCUGUGUUGCGCCUUGGGUGAAGCGUACGGCGACGACUUUGAGAUGCUGAAACUCGGUUGUAGCCACACGCCGGCGGUUCCGCUCUUGGCAGAUCGCCCCUCUGCCGACAAGCGCGCCACCGCCUCAUAAGCAGAGCUACGUUGUGGCUGUACCUCACAAGCUCCGCGAGUAUCCUGUGCACGUUGCGCUGCGGCUGAACAGGGCGCAGCCGCGGGAGAGGGUGGCGUUUCAGCCAGCUAGCCCUGCAGAGCCUCCUCACAGCCGCAGCGGACAGCACAUGUGAGGGGCCCCGUAUCAACACACUAACGGCGGCGAUGGCGUGGUUCCGCAGGAGUGGCGGGAAAUUGAAGACAAGUACAAGGAAUCUUCAUCAAAGCCUAUGAACGUGUCACGCGAUGUCGGAGAGCAGAGGCCGUAUGAUGACCGCGUUGAAGAGAGCGGUGCCCGAGGUGCCUCAACGCCAUCUCGACAGAGAUACGAGAAGGCUACACACAAUGAGGGGGGGGGGCGUAAACUUCCUUACCCUUGCUCGCGCUCACAGCACUUAGCUUACCACCCCCCCCCUCCCAUCUCCCUUUCCGGCUGUUGCUCCGGGGACGCACGUCUGGCUGUGUGCGUCGGCGACGCCCCCUGUCUCCGAGCGCGCCCUCCCCCUCCCCCUCCUCCUCUUCCUCUCCUUCCUUUUUGCGACCAUUGUUUUCCAUCUAUAUCUAUAUAUAUAUAUAUGUUUAUCUGUAUCUCUCCCUCUCUCUAUAUUGAUGCUUUUUGCAUUGCCUCUUUCACUUCCUAUUUCCCCUCCCCUUCAUGAGCCAGCGACGGUUGCGAGCGAAAG